GAGUUUGAUCGUGGCUCAGGACGAACGCUGGCGGCGUGCUUAACACAUGCAAGUCACGGGGGCCCGCAAGGGCAACCGGCGAACGGGUGCGUAACACGUGAGCAACCUACCGAUUUGUGGGGGAUAGCUGGCCUAACGGCCAGGUAAUACCGCAUACGCUCCUUGGGUCACCUGACUCGAGGAGGAAACCUCCGGGGCAGAUCGAGGGGCUCGCGGCCUAUCAGCUAGUUGGCGAGGUCACGGCUCACCAAGGCGACGACGGGUAGCUGGUCUGAGAGGAUGGCCAGCCACAUUGGGACUGAGAAACGGCCCAGACUCCUACGGGAGGCAGCAGUGGGGAAUCUUGCGCAAUGGGCGAAAGCCUGACGCAGCGACGCCGCGUGGGGGAUGACGGGUUUCGGCUUGUAAACCCCUGUUGCCCGGGACGAACUUCUCCUUUCGAGGAGAUUGACGGUACCGGGUGAGGAAGCACCGGCUAACUCUGUGCCAGCAGCCGCCGCCGUAAU
rnacentral:rRNA from 1 species